ACUGGACAUCUUAAUGCGUUCAUAUGGCGACUUCGAACACGUUUUUAGAAAGAAGUGCAACACCUGCAGCUGCAAAAGAGAGGGAGACGGCGUGGGAGAACAUUGUUGCCCGGGUCAAUGCGUAAGUUUAAAUCACAAUAAUAUUACAGCAAAACUGUUUAAUAGCAGCCUAUUCUGUUAUUUCAUUUAGGUGCAAUCCUGCGGGGGAGAAGCGCAUGUGGCAGCAGCUGAAGAUGAAAUAUAAGAACAUUGUUCAAACGGCCAACAGAAAGAAAGGAGAUGCCUGUAAAAAGGAGGUGGCCCAGCAGCACCACCUGUAACGGAGGCAGAGGAGCUGCUCCUAAGCCAGAAUUUGGGAAGGCCAGUGGCUGAGGGAAUCCCUGGAGGGAGCUCAUCCUCUGAGACCACAUCCCAAGACACAAGUGUGUGUGUGCGUGCGUGUGUGUUCAUGCGCCCACUGAACAUUUGCCAUAAGGAAGCACAGAGCACUGCAUUGUUUCUGCCUACGAGCGAGUGUGUGUGCAGCCACAGCGAUGGCAUGCGUGAAGGGGUGUGCUUUAAAGAUGGUGAGUUUAAUUAGAGAUGAAAGGGCUGAUUGUUUAAUUGAUGGAAGGUGGACUGUUCCAUCAGGCUGAAAUGUGUGCGUGUUGACUCUUCUACUGUAGAAAAACAGAAAAAGUGGAAAAAAGCUACAUUUUUUGAGAAAACUAGGACAGCAUCUUAAGAGACACAUUAUAUUGUCAUUUAAAAACAAAUGAUAAAUAUAAUUUGCUAAUUUGAUCAGUCCUUUAUUGAAGAAAACUGGCGUGGAGGUUCAGAUACACACAUCUGGAUGACAAAAAAGAUAUUUAAAUGAUUUUCUAGUGCAGAUCUUUGCCUGUAUUUACUCAUGCCGUGCUAUAGAAGUGAGCAGAUCAUCCCUGCUGUGUUUUUACUGCUCAUCUCUCAGCAGGUCUUCCUUUGCCCCCGUCUUCUCAAGGUGGCACCGAGUUCUACGAGUGCCUCUGAGACUCUCCUCUAUAAAAAAAAUGGAGCAGCACAAGCCCUUUUGACAUCACACUUUCUGCUACCAGGAGAUUAGAAAGUGAAGGUGGAGCACUCCGGAGAAAACGCUCUCGGCAAGAGGAAAAGGUGCAACAGAAAAUUGGACCUUCCAAGCGUACUUGUGGAGAUGCAGGCUGAGGAGGAGCGGAACCGGCACCCAGCAUGAUGAGAACAUCUGGUUGCUCCUCAGCGAGGCAAGAGAGAAUGAAGCGGCCUUGCAGCGGGAGGAGAUGGUCCAGAAUGCUGCCUUCAACCAGUCAUUCCUGGGUGUACUGGGGCAGCUGGGGCAGGCAGUGCUGGGUGUACUGGGGCAGCUGGUGCAGGCAGUGCUGGGUGUACUGGGGCAGCUGGGGCAGGCAGUGGGCAGCCAGCGAGUCCACCUCCCAGAGACUUGAGAUUUAGUUGUAUAUAGUUUUACUUUUAGCCCUCCACUGUAGGAGAGGCCCACCACAGUUUGUACUUUGCACAUUGUAAAUGGUUUUGAUUUUGCUGCUGACUAAUAAACUAUUUUGUGACUUAUGUGAUUGCAUCAUAACUUUUCAUUUUGUCUGUUAAGACACUGGUAGGAAAAGAGUCAACAGUCUGAACCAAACAAUUCUGUAUUCCCUAAUAAUGCAUUUAUGUUUAAUGGGAUUUAACAUGUUUUAACACAAACUC